rnacentral:rRNA from 1 species
AUUGAACGCUGGCGGCGUGCCUAAUACAUGCAAGUCGAACGAAGUGGCGCACGGGUGGGUAAUGCAUAGGAAUCUGCCUGGUAGUGGGGGAUAACGUCCGGAAACGGGCGUUAAUACCGCAUACUAUCAGAUGAGCCUAGGGCGGAUUAUCUAGUUGGUGGGGUAAAGGCCUACCAAGGCGACGAUCCGUAACUGGUCUGAGAGGAGGAUCAGUCACACUGGGACUGAGACCCGGUCCAGACUCCUACGGGAGGCAGCAGUGGGGAAUAUUGGACAAUGGGCGAAAGCCUGAUCCAGCCAUGCCGCGUGUGUGAAGAAGGUCUUCGGAUUGUAAAGCACUUUAAGUUGGUAGGCGUUACCAACAGAAUAAGCACCGGCUAACUUCGUGCCAGCAGCCGCGGUAAUAC